GUCUACGGCCAUACCACCCUGAACGCGCCCUAUCUCGUCUGAUCUCGGAAGCUAAGCAGGGUCGGGCCUGGUCAGUACUUGAUGGGAGAAAUUGCAGGUGUAUUUU
ensembl:rRNA 5S_rRNA 5S ribosomal RNA